rnacentral:rRNA from 1 species
CGUGGGGGGGUGCUAAUACAUGCAAGUCGAACGCGUUGGCCCAAUUGAUUGAUGGUGCUUGCACCUGAUUGAUUUUGGUCGCCAACGAGUGGCGGACGGGUGAGUAACACGUAGGUAACCUGCCCAGAAGCGGGGGACAACAUUUGGAAACAGAUGCUAAUACCGCAUAACAGCGUUGUUCGCAUGAACAACGCUUAAAAGAUGGCUUCUCGCUAUCACUUCUGGAUGGACCUGCGGUGCAUUAGCUUGUUGGUGGGGUAACGGCCUACCAAGGCGAUGAUGCAUAGCCGAGUUGAGAGACUGAUCGGCCACAAUGGGACUGAGACACGGCCCAUACUCCUACGGGAGGCAGCAGUAGGGAAUCUUCCACAAUGGGCGCAAGCCUGAUGGAGCAACACCGCGUGAGUGAAGAAGGGUUUCGGCUCGUAAAGCUCUGUUGUUAAAGAAGAACACGUAUGAGAGUAACUGUUCAUACGUUGACGGUAUUUAACCAGAAAGUCACGGCUAACUACGUGCCAGCAGCCGCGGUAAUACGUAGGUGGCAAGCGUUAUCCGGAUUUAUUGGGCGUAAAGAGAGUGCAGGCGGUUUUCUAAGUCUGAUGUGAAAGCCUUCGGCUUAACCGGAGAAGUGCAUCGGAAACUGGAUAACUUGAGUGCAGAAGAGGGUAGUGGAACUCCAUGUGUAGCGGUGGAAUGCGUAGAUAUAUGGAAGAACACCAGUGGCGAAGGCGGCUACCUGGUCUGCAACUGACGCUGAGACUCGAAAGCAUGGGUAGCGAACAGGAUUAGAUACCCUGGUAGUCCAUGCCGUAAACGAUGAGUGCUAGGUGUUGGAGGGUUUCCGCCCUUCAGUGCCGGAGCUAACGCAUUAAGCACUCCGCCUGGGGAGUACGACCGCAAGGUUGAAACUCAAAGGAAUUGACGGGGGCCCGCACAAGCGGUGGAGCAUGUGGUUUAAUUCGAAGCUACGCGAAGAACCUUACCAGGUCUUGACAUCUUGCGCCAACCCUAGAGAUAGGGCGUUUCCUUCGGGAACGCAAUGACAGGUGGUGCAUGGUCGUCGUCAGCUCGUGUCGUGAGAUGUUGGGUUAAGUCCCGCAACGAGCGCAACCCUUGUUACUAGUUGCCAGCAUUAAGUUGGGCACUCUAGUGAGACUGCCGGUGACAAACCGGAGGAAGGUGGGGACGACGUCAGAUCAUCAUGCCCCUUAUGACCUGGGCUACACACGUGCUACAAUGGACGGUACAACGAGUCGCGAACUCGCGAGGGCAAGCAAAUCUCUUAAAACCGUUCUCAGUUCGGACUGCAGGCUGCAACUCGCCUGCACGAAGUCGGAAUCGCUAGUAAUCGCGGAUCAGCAUGCCGCGGUGAAUACGUUCCCGGGCCUUGUACACACCGCCCGUCACACCAUGAGAGUUUGUAACACCCAAAGUCGGUGGGGUAACCUUUUAGGAGCCAGCCGCCUAAGGGGACUGG